rnacentral:rRNA from 1 species
UCCUUAAUUGGUCUUUGAGGAUGAUCAAUCACAUUGGGGAUGUAAAACACUCAACUCUCUGGUAGGGCAGCAGUGGGGAAUAUUGGACAAUAAGCUUAUGCUUGAUCCAGCAAUAUUGCAUAAAUGAUGAAGGUUGUUUUGAUUGUAAAGUUUGUUUAAUUAAAGAAAAUUAUGAUAUUAUUUAAUUAAAAGUCUUGACUAACUUCGUGCCAGCAGUCGCGGUAAUACGGGGAAGACAAGUGUUACUCAUCGUUAUUGGGCGUAAAGGGUACGUAGAUGGUAUAAAAAUAUAAAUAAUUUAAAUUUAAAAAAGAUCUUUUUAAAACUUAUUUAUUAAAAUUAUACUAAAUUAAAUUUAAAUAAAUUUUAAAAGAGUAUUGCAUAGGUUAAUAGUAUUUUUAAAGUAGAGAUGAAAUUCGACAAUAAUAAAAAGACUUUCAAUUGGCAAAAGCAAUUUACUAGUGUAAUACUAACGUUGAGGUACGAAAGCAUAGGGAGCAAACAGGAUUAGAGACCCUGGUAGUCUAUGCUGUGACCGAUGAAUGUUCAAUGUCGGAAAUUAUGUUUUCGGUGUUUUAGCAAACGCGUUAAACAUUCCGCCUGGGGACUACGAUCGCAAGAUUAAAACUCAAAGGAAUUGACGGAGAUCUGCACAAGCGGUGGAACAUGUGGUUUAAUUCGAUAUACCGCGAAAAAUCUUACCAAUUCUUGUUGAUUUAACUUUUAAAAUUUAUUAUUUUUAAUAAAUUUUAAAUUAAAUAUUAAAAUUAAUGUUUUCUUAAAAUUUAAUAUUAUAUUGUUAAAUACAGGCGUUGCAUGGCUGUCGUCAGCUCGUGUUGUAAAAUGUUUGGUUAAUUCCUUUAACGAGCGCAACCCUCAUUUAUAGAUUGUUCUAUAAAAAGUAAUGAUUAAAAAUCAAAGGAAGGAAAGGCUCACGUCAAGUCAUCACGACCUUUAUGAAUUGGGCUACACACGUGUUACAAUGGCAUUUACAAACAGAUGCAAAAAUGCAAAUUCUCGCAAAUCUUUAUAAAAAUUGUCUUAGUUCAGAUUAUUUUCUGUAACUCGAAAAUAUGAAGUUGGAAUCGCUAGUAAUCGUGAAUCAGCACGUCACGGUGAAUAUGUUCUCAGAUCUUGUACACACCGCCCGUCACGCCCUGGAAAUUGGUUUUAUUUGACGUAAAAUUUAUUUUAUUAAUUUUAUAUUUUUAUAUAUU